rnacentral:tmRNA from 1 species
GGGGUUGACUGGAUUUGACAGCAAGUUGAGAUGGUAGGUAAGCACGCGGAGUGACGGCUGUAUACUCCUAAAUCCAUUCGGUCGGAAAAUUAAUUGGCAACAAUCAGUAUGCUCUCGCUGCCUAAUCGAAGUACAGUAGAUUACUGGCUUUAUCCCGCCACCAGGUGACGGGACGAGACGUCGCUCCAAGGAUGUUGUUCCGAAUCUGAGGACCCAGCGGCGCAGGUAAAUCGGAAAUAGUCACGUUAGGCCCCGAUGGCGUGAUGAGAUUUAGGGGAUAAGGUCGCAGUUGGUGGUCCAGGUCUUGCCGCGGCUCGAAAACCAAAGUCUGGAAUAAGCGUGUAGAAAGCCUAUGGUUUCCUUGUUUGGACGCGGGUUCGACUCCCGCCAGCUCCACA